rnacentral:rRNA from 14 species
GGUCAUCCCGACUUACCAACCCGAUGCAAACUCCGAAUACCUGUGAGUGUAAUUAUGGCAGACACACGGCGGGUGCUAACGUCCGUCGUGGAGAGGGAAACAACCCAGACCGCCAGCUAAGGUCCCUAAGUUACAGUUAAGUGGGAAACGAUGUGGGAAGGCUAAGACAGCUAGGAGGUUGGCUUAGAAGCAGCCACCCUUUAAAGAAAGCGUAAUAGCUCACUAGUCGAGUCGGCCUGCGCGGAAGAUGUAACGGGGCUAAGCAAUAUACCGAAGCUGCGGCAGCACGUAUGUGCUGGGUAGGGGAGCGUUGUGUAAGUGGAUGAAGGUGAAUCGAGAGGUUUGCUGGACAUAUCACAAGUGCGAAUGCUGACAUGAGUAACGAUAAUGGGGGUGAAAAACCCCCACGCCGGAAGACCAAGGUUUCCUGUCCCAUGCUAAUCAGGGCAGGGUAAGUCGGCCCCUAAGGCGAGGCAGAAAUGCGUAGUCGAUGGGAAACGGGUUAAUAUUCCCGUACUUUUAUAUACAGUGAUGGGGUGACGGAGAAGGCUAGGCUGGCGUGGCGUUGGUUGUCCACGUGAAAGUGCGUAGGCUGGGGACUCAGGUAAAUCCGGGUUCCUAAGGCCGAGACACGAGACGAGCUACUACGGUAGCGAAGCAGUUGAUGCCCGGCUUCCAGGAAAAUCCUCUAAACGUAUGUAUAUAAGAACCGUACCCCAAACCGACACAGGUGGUCAGGUAGAGAAUACCAAGGCGCUUGAGAGAACUCGGGUAAAGGAACUAGGCAAAAUGGUGCCGUAACUUCGGGAGAAGGCACGCUGGUGGUAGGUGAGACC